UACGAAGGGGGCGAGCGUUGUUCGGAUUUACUGGGCGUAAAGGGCGCGCAGGCGGCGCAUUUUGUCAGGCGUGAAAGCCCCGGGCUUAACCUGGGAACUGCGUUUGAUACGGAUGGGCUAGAGUUCGGGAGAGGAGAGUGGAAUUCCCAGUGUAGAGGUGAAAUUCGUAGAUAUUGGGAAGAACACCGGUGGCGAAGGCGGCGACCUGGACAGUAACUGACGCUGAGACGCGAAAGCGUGGGGAGCAAACAGG
rnacentral:rRNA from 1 species